rnacentral:rRNA from 1 species
AGAGUUUGAUCAUGGCUCAGAACGAACGCUGGCGGCAUGUUUAAGACAUGCAAGUCGAACGGGACAUAGCAAUAUGUCUAGUGGCGAAAGGGAGAGUAAUACGUGGGAAUGUACCCUUGACAUGGGGAUAACAGCGGGAAACUGCUGAUAAUACCCAAUAAUGUCGUGAGACCAAAGGCGGGGACCGUAAGGCCUGCCGGUCUUGGAGCAGCCCACGUCCUAUCAGCUAGUUGGUGAGGUAACGGCUCACCAAGGCGUCGACGGGUAGCGGGUGUGAGAGCAUGGCCCGCCUCAUCGGGACUGAGACACUGCCCGGACACCUACGGGUGGCUGCAGUAACGAAUCUUGGGCAAUGGGCGAAAGCCUGACCCAGCAAUGCCGCGUGUGGGAUGAAGGCUGUCGGGAUGUAAACCACUGUCAGGGUCUACCAAGCGAUGCGGGCGAACAGUCCGCAAAGGUGAGGAGAUCCAGAGGAAGCCACGGCUAACUCUGUGCCAGCAGCCGCGGUAAUUC